CCUACGGGGGGCUGCAGUGGGGAAUAUUGGACAAUGGGGGGAACCCUGAUCCAGCCAUGCCGCGUGGGUGAAGAAGGCCCUCGGGUUGUAAAGCACUUUCAGUGAGGAAGAACGCCUGGUGGUUAAUACCCAUCAGGAAAGACAUCACUCACAGAAGAAGCACCGGCUAACUCCGUGCCAGCAGCCGCGGUAAUACGGAGGGUGCGAGCGUUAAUCGGAAUUACUGGGCGUAAAGCGCGCGUAGGUGGCUUGAUAAGCCGGUUGUGAAAGCCCCGGGCUCAACCUGGGAACGGCAUCCGGAACUGUCAAGCUAGAGUGCAGGAGAGGAAGGUAGAAUUCCCGGUGUAGCGGUGAAAUGCGUAGAGAUCGGGAGGAAUACCAGUGGCGAAGGCGGCCUUCUGGACUGACACUGACACUGAGGUGCGAAAGCGUGGGUAGCAAACAGGAUUAGAUACCCUUGUAGUC
rnacentral:rRNA from 1 species